rnacentral:rRNA from 1 species
UACGGAGGGUGCAAGCGUUGUUCGGAAUUAUUGGGCGUAAAGGGCAGGUAGGUGGUCUUAAAAGUCUACUGUGAAAUCCCCGAGCUUAACUUGGGAAGUGCGGUAGAUACUCUAAGACUAGAGUGCUGGAGGGGUUCGUGGAAUUCCCGGUGGUAGCGGUGAAAUGCGUAGAUAUCGGGAGGAACACCAGAGGCGAAGGCGGCGAACUGGACAGCAACUGACCACUCAACUGCGAAAGCGUGGGGAGCAAACAGG